rnacentral:rRNA from 1 species
CGCGUAGGCGGUAAUGUAAGUCAGACGUGAAAUCCUUCGGCUCAACUGAAGAACUGCGUCUGAAACUGCAUGACUAGAGUGCAGAAGAGGGAAACGGAAUUCCAGGUGUAGAGGUGAAAUUCGUAGAUAUCUGGAGGAACACCGGUGGCGAAGGCGGUUUCCUGGUCUGACACUGACGCUGAGGCGCGAAAGCGUGGGGAGCAAACAGGAUUAGAUACCCUGGUAGUCCACGCCGUAAACGGUGGGUACUGGGUGUGGGAGGUGUAAUGCCUUCUGUGCCGAAGCUAACGCGUUAAGUACCCGCCUGGGGAGUACGGCCGCAAGGUUGAA